rnacentral:rRNA from 1 species
UGGUGGGGUGACUUGUCUGCUUAAUUGCGAUGACGAACGAGACCUUAACCUGCUAAAUAGCCCGCAUUGCUCCGGCAGUGCGCUGGCUUCUUAGAGGGACUUUCGGCUCAAGCCGAAGGAAGUUUGAGGCAAUAACA